rnacentral:rRNA from 1 species
GCCGCAGUAUAUUAACUGUGCAAAGGUAGCAUAAUCAUUUGUUAUUUAAUUGAUAACUGGAAUGAAUGGUUUUAUAAAAAAUAUUCUUUUUUUAUUUUUAAUUUAAAAUUUUAUUUUAAAGUCAAAAAGCUUUAAUUUAUUUAUUAGACGAUAAGACCCUUUAGAACUUUAAUAUUAUUUUGAAUUAUAUUUUUAGUUUUAUAAAUAUAAAUUACUUAUAUAUUUUUGUUGGGGUGACAGUUAAUUUUUUAAAACUUUAAUUUACAUUUAUUCAUAUAUUUAUGAUUUUUUUGAUCCAAUAAUUUUGAUUAUAAGAUUAAGUUACCUUAGGGAUAACAGCGUAAUUUUGUUGGAGAGUUCUUAUUAAUAACAAAGUUUGCGACCUCGAUGUUGGAUUAAA